AUGUGGAGCUGGGGGGCACAGGCCCACGGAGGGGUGCAGAGGGGAGCACCUGCUCUCUGUCCCCGAGCUCGUCGCAAGCACCUCGAGGUGCCCUGGUGCUGCGUCUGGGUUUGUGCGCUGGGGUCAGAGCCGGGUCCAGCACAGCCGGGGCUGCACCCGGGGUGGGGGGAUCGGCCCGGAAGGGGGGUACGCACGCGGUUUUGCCCCGGAGCAGCCACGCUCGGCUGCACGCUGGCCAAGAACCCCCGCGCCGGGGCCUGGGGGGCGCGGUGGCUGUCCGCGGCCGGGCCUCCGGGCGAGCGCUGUGUCCCCAGGACACCCCGGCUGGGGAGGGGGCCGGGCCGUGCUGUGCCCCCCCGGCCGGACAGCCGCGGGCGCGGACGGCUCGUUUUUCUGCGAAUUCCCCGUUCCGUCCUCCCGGCGGACACCCCACGGCUGCCAUCUAACGGCCACCGCGGGCCGAGCGGCGGGGACGCGGCGGGCGGUGGCCGCGGCGGCGGGGCCGAGCCGAGCGCACGGCGGCAGCAGCCCGGACCGCGGGUCCCCGCCGCCUCCCCGAGCCCCGGCACGGGCCCUGUCGGGGCCGGGACCCCUCGGGGAAGAGCAGGGGAAGCGGUGCCGGUCCCUGUCCCCGUCCUGUCCCGGUCCCUGUCCCCACCCCUGUCCCCACCCCUGUCCCCAUCCCCAUCCCCAUCCCGUCCCCAUCCCGUCCCCAUCCCGUCCCCAUCCCCGUCCCAGCCCAAGCACGGCCGCUGCAGGUGUCGGGGGGCUGGGGACAAACAAGCGGGGACCGAGCUGGGAGAAACCCAACGGCACAACUGCGGCGCUUUUCGGUCGCCCCCCGUCGGCUCGGUUCUAACGCCGCUCAGUCCCCCCGUUCCCCACGCCUGCCCUCCCUCCGUCCCCCUGCUGGAGAUGGGUCCUCACCUGGCACCCGAGCACGCUCCGGGGGGACGCUCCGGGCCCCCGCUGUGCCGGGGCAGCCCCCACCCCUGCGCCCCGCCGCUGGCCCGGUGCCACCCGGGGUGUGCCACCCCCGUGCCACCCCGGCCCGGCCCUCCGCUCCCCUCCGCGCCCCUCCGCUCCCCUCCCGCCGGAGGCUGCCUUGGCAGCUCCGUCUGCAAUUUUGGCAGAGCCGCACCAGAAUUGGAGAGAGCGGCGAGGGAGAGAAAUUACACACACACACACACACACACAAAAAAAAAAAAAGGAAAAAAAAUACAGCCCAAUAGCCUGGAGAGGCUUGUGUGUUUGCCCUUUCGUCAUGACGUAGUGUCCUGUGCCUCUCUCCCCCCUUCUCUCGUUCCUUUUCCCCUCCCUCCUUCCAACCCCCACACCCCCCCUUCCCCUCACAUCCUUGGAAGCAACAAUUAA
rnacentral:lncRNA from 1 species